rnacentral:rRNA from 2 species
UACGGAGGGUGCAAGCGUUAUCCGGAUUUACUGGGUUUAAAGGGUGCGUAGGUGGGUUGGGAAGUCAGUGGUGAAAUACUUUCGCUUAACGAAGGAACUGCCAUUGAUACUAUCAAUCUUGAAUGUAGUGGAGGUAGGCGGAAUGCGUCAUGUAGCGGUGAAAUGCUUAGAUAUGACGCAGAACACCAAUUGCGAAGGCAGCUUGCUACACUACUAUUGACACUGAGGCACGAAAGCGUGGGGAUCAAACAGG